rnacentral:misc_RNA from 1 species
UUNAAAANNCCCNUUNUNGCCNNCCCNGUNAANANGGGGNNGUNCNGAUUUGGGNAANGGGGUAGGGUUUNANUUNANUUAAANCNGNUUACCNGGAGCNNNAAAAACNUUUUUUAAGUNAAAAAGCNANCGNAUUCCAUUGNACGGUAAAUGNGNAANAUNGNAGGACCCCAAAGGCGUAGCGGCUNUUGGNUUUAACUACCNUNAGGCNCGAAAGCGNGGGAGCAANCAGGAUUAGAUACCCUGGUAGUCCACNCCGUAAACGAUGAGUAUUAAGUGUCGGGUUCGACUCGGUACUGAAGUUACCCCANUAAGUACUCCGCCUGAGUAGUACGUACGCAAGUAUGAAACUUAAAGGAAUGACGGGACCCCGCACAAGCGGUGGAUCAUGUUGUUUAAUUCGAAGAUACACGAAAAACCUUACCAGGUCUUGACAUAAUUUUGCGACAUUAUAGAAAUAUAAUGAAGGUUAUCAGAAUUACAGGUGGUGCAUGGUUGUCGUCAGCUCGUGUCGUGAGAUGUUAGGUUAAGUCCUAAAACGAGCGCAACCCUUGUCGUUAGUUGCGACCACGUAAUGGUGAGCACUUUAGCGAGACUGCCAAUGAAAAAUUGGAGGAAGGUGAGGAUUACGUCAAAUCAUCAUGCCCCUUAUGAUCUGGGCUACAAACGUGAUACAAUGGCUGUUACAAAGAGUAGCUGUAACGUGAGUUUAUGGCCAAUCUCAAAAAAACAGUCUCAGUUCGGAUUGAAGUCUGCAACUCGACUUCAUGAAGUUGGAAUCGCUAGUAAUCGCGAAUCAGCAUGUCGCGGUGAAUACGUUCUCGGGGUUUGUACACACCGCCCGUCAAACCACGAAAGUUGAUAAUACCCGAAAGCGGUCGCCUAACUUCGUUAGAAGAGGGAGCCGUCUAAGGUAGGAUCGAUGAUUGGGGUUAAGUCGUAACAAGGUAUCCCUACCGGAAGGUGGGGAUGGAUCACCUCCUUUCUAAGGAAAUGUAGAAUCAUCAUCUUCAGUUUUGAAAGAGCUUAGUUAAGUUUUUCUCAUUUAUUUUAUUUUUAUUAAAUAUGCCUGGGCNUCAUAGUACNAAGGUNCCCNCCCCNUUNUGNAUCGNANGUCCCAAGGNNNNAAAAAAANGNGNNUNUUGNUUACCAANUUCCGCCNNGUGGGNACCNGCCCCCGUAUUUGAACCUCAUUUUUUNNAANNNNAAAUNNUCANCCCNGNAGGUUUUGGNUUUNGAAUNANAACAUAUCCCCGCUGGNGGGUCCNCCANUCCUUAAGUUUAAACUGGGNANGACUANUCAGNGGAGUACUAAUGGUUAANUCAGUCCGAGUGNAACCCGNCNNUAGUAUUCAUCGUUACGGCGGGACUACCAGGGUUNUAAUCCUGUUGCUCCCCACGCUUUGGGCCUCAGCGUCAGUNAGACCCAGCAAGCCGCCUACGCCUCUGGUGUUCCUCCAUAUAUUUACGCAUUUUACCGCUACACAUGGAAUUCCGCUUGCCUCUAUCUAACUCUAGUCAGACAGUUUCUAUAGCGCUACAGCGUUAAGCACUGCAUUUAAACUAUAGACUUAUCAAACCGCCUACGCACCCUUUACGCCCAAUAAUUCCGGAUAACGCUCGCCCCUUAUGUAUUACCGCGGCUGCUGGCACAUAAUUAGCCGGGGCUUAUUCAUUGAAUAAUGUCAAGAUAGUUUUUCCACUAUUUUUUCUUUUUCAAUAAAAGAACUUUACAUACCGAAGUACUUCAUUGUUCACGCGGCGUCGCUCGGUCAGAGUUUCCUCCAUUGCCAAAAAUUCCUUACUGCUGCCUCCCGUAGGAGUUUGGGCCGUGUCUCAGUCCCAAUGUGGCUGUUCGACCUCUCAGUCCAGCUACACAUCAUCGUCUUGGUAAGCUUUUACCUUACCAACUAACUAAUGUGGCGCAAGCCCCUCUUUAAGUAUACCUUUCGAAAAAGGUCUUUUAAAAAUUAAAAGAUGCCUCUUAAUUUCCUAUCCUGUCUUAGCAACUGUUUCCAAUUGUUAUCCACGUCUUAAAGGCAGGUUGCUUACGUGUUACUCACCCGUUCGCCACUAAAACCCUAAGGUUUCCGUUCGANUCGCAUGUAUUGNGCCCUCCUACCAGUCCUUNAA